CUAUGACAGCUUCAAGACCUGUGACAGAUGUAGCUGAAACCCAUCCAGCUCAAACAUCAGCCACAAAGACUGUUAAUAGUGAAAUACACAGCACGGAUGAGAAAAACAAGCAUGAUGUGAUUCUGGUGAUGUUUCUUCCAGUGAUGCUUGUGCUCUUACUGUUUGUAACUCUUGUUGCCAUAGUAACCUGGAGACUGAGAAAGAAACCAGAGAGAAGUCAAAUUGGAGAAGAACAUUUUAACAGCACCAGAAAUACAAUGACAUCCAACAGUCCGGCAAAUGCUAAUGUAAGUCAUCAGUCCAUGGUGUGACUAUGUAGACAUUUACUGUGGUGUUGAUUGCAAAUGAAUGAUUGUCCGUUGUGUUUAUUCACAGUCUUCUUUCUCAGUGGAUGUUAGUUCAGUGUUUACAGUUCUGGAAUUACCUUUUGUAAAGCAGUUUCUCCUCUGAAUGUUCUCCUUUGAGAGUUUUUGUAAAAGUGAUGUGUGAUCUCAGCAGUGUCGGCUGGGGUGUGGCUGUGAAUUAAAACAAUUUUGGCAUUUCUGUGUUCCAUGUAACACUAAAAUGUCACACCAACGGUUGCUGUGAUGCAGAAAUUAGAUUCUCAAUGCUGAUCUUGUUCAUUCACAGCCUUCUUCAUCAGUGAACUCAGAGGCUGAAGUGAUCUACAGCUCUGUGAAAAUAUACCCAAGGCUGUGAGUUCUUAACAAGAGGUGCUACUUCUGCUCCCUCUAAAUGAAGUUAUGAAAAAAUGAAAGUCAAUCAUGGUUAAUUAAUAGUUAAUCUACUUUACAGUUUCAGAUUUAAACAGUGUGAAGUUUUGGUGCUUAACAUAUGUACCUAUAGAUGUAAGUGUGACAGUGUUCUUUUUUAAAAAUAUACUGUAAGCUAGUUGCCAAUACUGUGAAAACAAAAUAAUUCAAGCCUUACAGUAUGUAGUUAUGAAGUACAUUUUUUAAGCACAUCUGCAUAUUACAGGUAUAUUCCAAAAAUUAAUUCAUGACCAAUCAACACUUGUAUUCCUUUUUUAAAUCCAAAUUAGGGCCACAUAGCCUAACGUUUAGGCUUACAUACAGUUAAUUUAUAUUUUUGUUAGUUGUCAUUUUAAUUAUUUUAUUUUUGUAAUUAAAAUUUAAAACAAAUAUUCAUUGUAAUUGUGCAUUGUAAAAAGUCAAUGCAUGAAAUUGUUUAUAUAGUUUGUAUUGUUUUCUUAAUGUUAUCCACAUUUUGUUUGUGGCGCCACCUGCUGGUGAAUUUUAACCCCCAAUGCAAGAGCGACAUCACUUUUGUGCAUUUCAAUACAUUUUUACAAAAAAUUAAAAAAAUAUAUAUUUUCAAAACACACAAUUAGUCCAGCUUUUAUGAUCUCUAAACAUGUCCAAGAAUUGUGGUAUUGUCAAUGUCACUUUUUAAAGGCGUCAUAUGAUGCAAUCUAUUUUUUUCCUUUCUCUUUGGAUUGUUACAAGCUCUUGGUGCAUGAAGAAUAUCUGUAAAGUUGCAAAGAAUAAAGUCUCAAAUCCAAAGAGAUCUUCUUCAAACACGCCUCCACAUCUCUAUGUCACUAUGUGGAAAUAUUUAUGUAAUGCUGCCCAAAUGUUCACGCAAAGAAAGAAGGCAUGGUUUCAGUAACCAGAGUUAGUGUUGAAGUAGCCAUGUCAGGAGAUGCUGUGGGUAUCUAGGUGAAAGCAAAAUCACUUUAUUUGGCCUUCUGAAAGUAGAUGCAUUUAGGAAUCUUUAAGAUUACUUACAAAAGAAAAGCAACGCA
ensembl:lncRNA